rnacentral:rRNA from 1 species
AUUGAACGCUGGCGGCAUGCCUUACACAUGCAAGUCGAACGGUAGCGGGCCUUCGGGUGCCGACGAGUGGCGAACGGGUGAGUGAUGUAUCGGAACGUACCUUUCAGUGGGGGAUAACGUAGCGAAAGUUACGCUAAUACCGCAUAUUCUGUGAGCAGGAAAGCAGGGGAUCGCAAGACCUUGCGCUGAUUGAGCGGCCGAUAUCAGAUUAGCUAGUUGGUGAGGUAAAGGCUCACCAAGGCGACGAUCUGUAGCGGGUCUGAGAGGAUGAUCCGCCACACUGGAACUGAGACACGGUCCAGACUCCUACGGGAGGCAGCAGUGGGGAAUUUUGGACAAUGGGGGCAACCCUGAUCCAGCCAUGCCGCGUGAGUGAAGAAGGCCUUCGGGUUGUAAAGCUCUUUCGGCCGGGAAGAAAUCGUAUCAGCUAAUACCUGGUGCGGAUGACGGUACCGGCAUAAGAAGCACCGGCUAACUACGUGCCAGCAGCCGCGGUAAUAC